CUCUUCUCUCCCGCUUCUCUCGCUGUGAAGAUGGCGCUCUCCAGGGUUUGCUGGGCUCGGUUGGCUGUGUGGGGCUCGGCAGUCACCCCUGGACAUUUUGUCACCCGGAGGCUGCAACUUGGUCGCUCUGGCCUGGCUUGGGGGGCCCCUCGGUCUUCAAAGCUUCACCUUUCUCCAAAGGCAGAUGUGAAGAACUUGAUGUCUUAUGUCGUAACCAAGACAAAAGCCAUUAAUGGGAAAUACCAUCGUUUCUUGGGUCGUCAUUUCCCCCGCUUCUAUGUCCUGUACACAAUCUUCAUGAAAGGCAGGAUUGCAGAUGUUAUGGGCUGAUGCCAAAAAGGCUAGAAGAAUAAAGACAAAUAUGUGGAAGCACAAUAUAAAGUUUCAUCAACUUCCAUACCGGGAGAUGGAGCAUUUGAGACAGGUAUGGGCCAGGGGCAGACAUCCAGAAGUUCAUGGUGAGGUAAUUACAUUUAAUCAAGAUCUCAAGGUUUUUUCUUUCAUUUGUUGUUUACCAUUGAUCAAGCUUUUGCCCUUUGCCAUGAGAACAAAAUAUUGAACUGAAUGAGGCAUCAGAU
rnacentral:sRNA from 1 species